GUCCCUGCAGGAGUCAUUUCUAGUCGGGACAUACCAUGGCCAUGAAAGCUCCUGCUCAGACCCUAGCAAUUUGUUUACUCUGGCUCUUAGGUGCCAGAUGUGACAUUCAAGUGACACAGUCUCCUCCAUUCCUGUCAGCAUCUCUAGGAGACAAAGUGACCAUCACUUGCCUCGCAAGUCAGGGCAUCAGCAAUGACUUAAACUGGUACCAGCAGAAAUCAGGACAAGCUCCUACACUCUUGAUCAAAUAUGCAAAUAAUUUGCAAUCUGGUGUCCCAUCAAGGUUCAGUGGUCAAUAUUCUGGAAAAAGUUUCACUCUAACCAUUGGUAGCGUGGAGCCUGAAGAUGUUGGAACUUAUUUUUGUCUACAGCAUUACAAUUUUCCUCACACAGUGAUAUAA